UACGGAGGGGGCUAGCGUUGUUCGGAAUUACUGGGCGUAAAGCGCACGUAGGCGGCUUUGUAAGUUAGAGGUGAAAGCCCGGGGCUCAACUCCGGAAUUGCCUUUAAGACUGCAUCGCUAGAAUUGUGGAGAGGUAAGUGGAAUUCCGAGUGUAGAGGUGAAAUUCGUAGAUAUUCGGAAGAACACCAGUGGCGAAGGCGACUUACUGGACACAUAUUGACGCUGAGGUGCGAAAGCGUAGGGAGCAAACAGG
rnacentral:rRNA from 1 species